GAUGAACGCUGGCGGCGCGCCUAACACAUGCAAGUCGAACGAUUAAAGCACCUUCGGGUGUGUAUAAAGUGGCGAACGGCUGAGUAACACGUGGGCAACCUGCCCCUUUCAUUGGGAUAGCCACGGGAAACCGUGGAUAAUACCGAAUACUUCGAGACUUCCGCAUGGAAGACUCGAGAAAGCUCCGGCGGAGAGGGAUGGGCCCGCGGCCUGUUAGCCUGUUGGUGGGGUAACGGCCUACCAAGGCAAUGAUGGGUAGCUGGGUUGAGAGACCGACCAGCCAGAUUGGGACUGAGACACGGCCCAGACUCCUACGGGAGGCAGCAGUGGGGAAUCUUGCACAAUGGGCGAAAGCCUGAUGCAGCGACGCCGCGUGCGGGAUGAAGGCCUUCGGGUUGUAAACCGCUUUCAGCAGGGACGAGGCGAAAGUGACGGUACCUGCAGAAGAAGCCCCGGCUAACUACGUG
rnacentral:rRNA from 1 species